rnacentral:lncRNA from 1 species
UAAUUUUGAAUUGUGGGAGGUUAUUAUCCCAUAAAUAGAUAUGACAGCAGCUGAAAAGGGGGUGGAGAAAAAACAGAGAAAAAAAUAUAGCAGCGUGGCAGCAAGCAGAAUUUUCUAAGAGAUUUGACCAGCAACCCGAUCAAGGAGCUGGAGUAGCAGCUAGUAAAUUCGGCUAAUUUGGAGAAGGGAAGCCGGACGAUUUGAAGAACUCUGCCUUCCGAGAACCAGUUUGUAAUUCAUGUUCUCUCCAUUGGAUUCGUGUUCUGUUUUAUUAGCUAUGAGUGGCUAAUUUAUUUAAGCUUAGUUUGACACUUAUGAAACCGGGCACAAGUGAUUUGAA